rnacentral:rRNA from 1 species
UACGUAGGCAGCGAGCGUUGUUCGGAGUUACUGGGCGUAAAGGGUGUGUAGGCGGUCCUCUAAGUUUGGUGUGAAAUCUCCCGGCUCAACCGGGAGGGUGCGCCGAAAACUGGAGGGCUAGAGUGCGGGAAGGGAGAGUGGAAUUCCUGGUGUAGCGGUGAAAUGCGUAGGUAUCAGGAGGAACACCGGUGGUGUAGACGGCUCUCUGGACCGCGACUGACGCUGAGACACGAAAGCGUGGGGAGCAAACAGG